GAUGAAGAACGCAGCGAAAUGCGAUAACUAAUGUGAAUUGCAGAAUUCCGUGAAUCAUCGAGUCUUUGAACGCACAUUGCGCCCCCUGGUAUUCCGGGGGGCAUGCCUGUCCGAGCGUCAUUGCUGCCCAUCAAGCACGGCUUGUGUGUUGGGUCCCGUCCCCCUCUCCCGGGGGACGGACCCGAAAGGCAGCGGCGGCACCGCGUCCGGUCCUCGAGCGUAUGGGGCUUUGUCACCCGCUCUUGUAGGCCCGGCCGGCGCUUGCCGACACCCAACCAUUUUUUUCAGGUUGACCUCGGAUCAGGUAGGGAUACCCGCUGAACUUAAGCAUAUCAAAAGCGGAGGA
rnacentral:misc_RNA from 1 species